rnacentral:tRNA from 1 species
GCACUCUUAGCUCAAUAGGAUAGAGCAACGGCCUUCUAAGCCGUAGGUUACAAGUUCAAAUCUUGUAGAGUGCA